GGUGACCACAGUCAGAGUCUCAGGUGUGCCUCAGAACUGCUCUUCCCAUCUCCCAGGCUGAGGCUGACCACCAGGCUGAGAGCUGGGAUACCUUGGCCUGCUGCUAACCUCCAUCUGCCCUGCAAUUUGGAUAAAAGUUUCUUUUAUCCAAAUACCACUGUUUCUUUUGCCGAACCUUUGUCUGCAGGAAGUCAGUCUGUUUGGCAGCAAGGUCUGCCUUUCCCUUUGUGGGGCCUUGCACUGUGCUGCUCAUCUUCUUAGGAGCUGGGGGGUGCCCUGACCCCUUGGGGUGUGUUGGAUUCCUGCCUACUGUCUCCUGCUGCUGUGACAGGCUGGAGCUUUCUGCAGCAACCACAUCGUUCCUGCUCUAGGACAUCUUCCUCUCCUUGUACCCAGGCUUAUCCAACCCACGGAAAGGGAUCCUUCCAUAUUUUGUCUUCUCCAUUUUGAAUUCUUUGUACUGAGCACUCCACUCAGAUGACAGAGCGCUGAACACAACGGUGCACAGAAUCCUCCUGCAAUACCAACAGAAAGGACAAUAAGGAUCCAAACACACAGUCAGCUGGAUACUGACAGUUAAAAAAAAGUGUGAAGUGACAAAAACAAGAGCCGCAUGUCCUACAGUUCCAAACCUACAGCCAACAGUCAAGGAUAAGUGACUCGACCCUUGUGAGAUUCCCAUGGGCAGAGAGAGGCACGAAUGUAGCAGUGAAGAGAGACAUGAUUAAUAAAGCUGAGAGUUUUGACAGUACCAAUACUACUGGAAGUCACUUCAGUCUUCAAACAGGUAUGUGUCAAUCUAUGAGGCAGAUACUACAUUCAGUAUGAAAACAAGAAAUUCCUUCCCUCCCUCUUGCUCUGCCAAGGCACAUGUCCCCAAGUGAGAUGACAACGUGGUCACCUGGACAGACUCACUCUUUGAGCCUCCUGUUGUAGAGGAAGUU